AUUGAACGCUGGCGGCAUGCUUUACACAUGCAAGUCGAACGGUAACAGGGUGCUUGCACCGCUGACGAGUGGCGAACGGGUGAGUAAUGCGUCGGAACGUGCCGAGUAGUGGGGGAUAACGCAGCGAAAGUUGUGCUAAUACCGCAUACGUACUGAGGUAGAAAGUGGGGGACCUUCGGGCCUCACGCUAUUCGAGCGGCCGACGUCUGAUUAGCUAGUAGGUGAGGUGAAGGCUCACCUAGGCGACGAUCAGUAGCGGGUCUGAGAGGAUGAUCCGCCACACUGGGACUGAGACACGGCCCAGACUCCUACGGGAGCCAGCAGUGGGGAAUUUUGGACAAUGGACGCAAGUCUGAUCCAGCCAUUCCGCGUGCAGGAUGAAGGCCCUCGGGUUGUAAACUGCUUUUGUACGGAACGAAAAGGUCUCUAUUAAUACUAGGGGCUCAUGACGGUACCGUAAGAAUAAGCACCGGCUAACUACGUGCCAGCCGCCGCGGUAAGAC
rnacentral:rRNA from 1 species